rnacentral:rRNA from 1 species
GGAGUUAGCCGGUGCUUCUUCUGUGAGUGAUGUCCUUCCUGCCGGCUAUUAACCCGCAGGCCUUCUUCCUCACUGAAAGUGCUUUACAACCCGAAGGCCUUCUUCACACACGCGGCAUGGCUGGAUCAGGGUUGCCCCCAUUGUCCAAUAUUCCCCACUGCUGCCUCCCGUAGGAGUCUGGGCCGUGUCUCAGUCCCAGUGUGGCUGAUCAUCCUCUCAGACCAGCUACGGAUCGUCGCCUUGGUGAGCCGUUACCUCACCAACCAGCUAAUCCGACAUAGGCUCAUCCGAUAGCGCGAGGCCCGAAGGUCCCCCGCUUUCCCCCGUAGGGCGUAUGCGGUAUUAGCCUGGGUUUCCCCAGGUUAUCCCCCACUACCGGGCAGAUUCCUAUGCAUUACUCACCCGUCCGCCGCUCGCCACCAGGGAGCAAGCUCCCCGUGCUGCCGCUCGACUUGCAUGUGUUAGGCCUGCCGCCAGCGUUCAAUCUGAGCCAGUANACACACUNACNGNGCGGCG